rnacentral:rRNA from 1 species
GAGUUUGAUCUUGGCUCAGGAUGAACGCUGGCGGCGUGCUUAACACAUGCAAGUCGAACGAGGAAUUUUUAAAUGAGACUUCGGUGGAUUUUAAAAUUCUUAGUGGCGGACGGGUGAGUAACGCGUGGGCAACCUGCCCUGUACAGGGGGACAACAGCUGGAAACGGCUGCUAAUACCGCAUAAGCGCACGGCAUCGCAUGAUGCUGUGUGAAAAACUCCGGUGGUACAGGAUGGGCCCGCGUUGGAUUAGGUAGUUGGUGAGGUAACACGCCCCACAAGCCGAGAUCCAUAGCCGACCUGAGAGGGUGACCGGCCACAUU